AUGUUAAUAAAAAGGUCUUAUCAGAAAAAAAGACAUGGCUGUCUUCCUUGGGAUCUGGGCUGCUUCGAGAUUCUUUGAAAAUCAUGCUUUUCAUAUGUGUUGUAUUAAUUUUUCCCCCAGUGUUGUCCAUCCAGAUGCGACGAAAUCGCCUAGAAGCUGGAAUGAGACAGAACCUGUAUAAAGGUUUCACGCAGACACUGCAGAGGGCGUUCAAUGACAGCAACGUCCGUGUUCAGUUGGAAAAAGAUAUCUGCACGCCUUCUAAUGUGACUGUGGGCUACUACAUCUUGAGAGGGAAGACCGUGUUGGUGGCCUCUGUUGUGAUGGACACAUUAGCUUCCUAUGGUUUUGACAAGCUACUGAGUGACAUCAGAGAGUAUGUUCCUGUGGUUUUGGCCAUCCCCAGUCCUGUGGCCCCCUGGCUGCCCAGCCUCGGCAUCCACCUGCAGCUCAAAACGGGUAAGAUUCUUUUCCACCUGGAGUUUGUUGGAAAAUCUGACUGGAAAUGAUAUAUCUGACAAUUUUUUUUUGCUGUAGCCCCUUUGUUAACCCUUUAUCUACAUUACAUAUUCAGCCAGUCUUAAAGGGAUAGUUCACCCAAAAAUGAAAAUUUGGAGUUUAUUCAUCAAUGCCUGACAGUUCAUUGUAAAAAAACAAUAUAAAUACUGUUCAGUGUCUUGCACACACCGAUCGUUUUGUGUCUUUACACAUCAAUGUAUUUUUGGGUGAACUAUCCCUUUAAGCCCACAACCAUUUAUUGUUGAAACUUGGUAACUAGAAUGAUUGGUAACUGGAAUGUGGAAUCUGUCUUUGUUUAACAGUUUAUUGUUUUCCUACAUAUAGUUCUCAGGUUUGUCGGACCAACAGAUAACAUCAAGUCUUGCGGGUUCAUCCAAAUGAUGGAGCAACGAUUGGAAAAUGUGUUUGCUGAAGCGCAGGAGAAAGUGGAGGAUUCUUAUGGGACUCUUUCUGUUGAGGUAGUUUUUCAAUUGAACUUGAAAACAAAGUUUGAUAAAUGGCUUAUCUUCCGAGGUCUGAUAACGCCGUUCCUCUGAGGACUCGUUUGUUGGAUUUGGAUUUAUAGUUUGUUUGUGUUUUCGGACAGAUUCUGAACACGUAUCAAACGGGGAAUUCGUUGGCAGUCACUCUGGUGUAUGUGGUGUGGAAUGGUAGCACUCCGUUGAACGGUACUGUGUCCAGCGGUCUCCUUAACCAGCUCACUGCCGAGCUGGUGGGCUACUUUCUCUUCUUCCCCCCUCUGAUCAUCGCUGAGCGUAAGUUUCAGCUUGUUUACUGCUUGAUGUUACAUUUACUUGCUGCAUGGCUUGUGUUUACAUGUUAAUGCACAUUGAAAUAGUAGUUCAUGUUUAUUUCUGUUUAAAUCCAUGAGUUUGUUUUCCUUGAGGCAGAGAUCCUCAAUUUUGGUUGAUCCUAAAGACAUUUUCCAAGGACUCAUUACAUUCUACUUUUUGAUGGGUAGUUGAUAUGAAUAACUUUUGGGAAGUUGACUUGUUCUGCUGGGUGACAUGCUAUACUCCAUCUAAAACAAUUUUAAACAGCUAUAAUUAUUUGAUAUCAGUAUUGUGAUAAUAAUCUCACCUUUAAAGUCCAGAUGUGCUUCAAAUGAAAUCAUGUAGAUAUGAAUGAAAUUUCAUGUAGAUUCACAUUAAU
rnacentral:lncRNA from 1 species